UCUACAGGAUAUCAGAAUUCUAAGAAAAACUUGGAAAUCAUGUUCAGGACUAUACAGGACUUUAAAAGCUUUAUCUUCCCAAACUGAAAACCAGACCUCUCAAGUCUAGCUGCUCUCCUCCAGGUGCUGCAUAAAUGGACCUGGUCUUUGGCUACCUUACUUUGGAUCACUUGGUUGAAACAGUUCCCUUAGUCAACUUGUCCACUGGACUUAAGCUGUGGGACACAGAAAUUUUCCCUGGAAGAACAGAACAAUGAAGAUGAAUAGUUGAAAAAUGAGGCUAUACAAGCAUGAUGACAGUACCUGCUCGGCUUCUGGCACUUCUGCAAGUCUCAGAGUCUAAAGGCUGAAAAACCUGGAGUCUGAUGUCCAAGGGCAGGAGGAGAGGAAGCAAGCAUCUGACAUGGAAAGAAAGUGGGAGCCAGAAGACUCAGCAAGCAAGACUACCCCCAUGACUUCUUCCACCUAGGUCUUCCUCUUCCAGUCCACUGACCCAAAUGUAAAUUUCCUUUGGCAACAUCCUCACAGACACACCCCAAAACAAUACUUUGCCAGCCAUCUAGGAAUCCUUUAAUCCAGUCAGGAUGACAACUAAUGUUAACCAUCACAGCAUUUUCUAAAGAGAAUCCUGCAUUCUAAAGGAUCUAGUCUGGAUGCCAGGAGCUGUGUAUAGGAUGAGAGCCUGGUGGACCUGAUUGACCGCCUGUUGUUCAGUUCAGUUCAGAGACUGAAAAUCAGGAUUUGUGCUGGAGAGUCUUUGAACUGUGUGUGAAAGUAUCUGAAGGUCCAUGACAAUUUGAAAGGUUUGAGCACACAAUGAAAUGAGUUGAUAUUGACUGUUGGGAACCAGAGUUCUCAGUGGAUGAAGAGACACAGAAAAAUAAAAUGAAGGAAGGCAAAGAAGAUCUCUGAAGAGAUGGAUUGGAAUUGGAAGCAUUAGUAUGAACCAUGAUUCUAAAAUAGUUAUAUAUUGAUGUCUAUGCUUGUAUAUAUCCAGAAGUUUAUGUAUGUAUGUUUAAAUGUGUGUGUAAUAUAUAUGUAUACAUAUAUGUACACAUGUAUAUAUUUCCUAGCUUUGUCUACUGAAAGGGUCCACAAGCAAAAUCUUGUAGCGGAUCUUGGUCUCUAAGAUUGUUCCCUGUUAAAAAAAAAACAGGAUCCGUUGGAGAAAUUGCUGAUUCCAGUGCUGUAGCAGAAAAGGUAAUACAUGAUCCUAAAAUCAGUAGUCUCAUUCUGUUAGAUUACUGUGGGGUUCAGUAUGGUAGCCACUAGUCUCUUGUGCUAUUUAUUUAUUUAUUUUUAUUAUUAUGCUUUAAGUUCUAGGGUACAUGUGUACAGCAUGCAGGUUUGUUGCAUAUGUAUACAUCUGCCAUGUUGGUGUGCUGCACCCAUUAACUGGCAAUUUACAUUAGGUAAAUCUCCUAAUGCUAUCCCUGCUCCCUCCCCCAACCCCAUGUCAGGCCCCAGUAUGUGAUGAUCCUCAUCCUGUGUCCAAGUGUUUUCAUUGUUCAGUUCCCACCUGUGAGUGAGAACAUGCAGUGUUUGGUUUUCUAUCCUUGCGAUAGUUUGCUCAGAAUGAUGGUUUCUAAUUUCAUCCAUGUCCCUACAAAGGACAUGAACUCAUCCUUUUUUAUGGCUGCAUAGUAUUCCACGGUGUAUAUGUGCCACAUUUUC
rnacentral:lncRNA from 1 species